rnacentral:rRNA from 1 species
GUCUCAAGAUUAAGCCAUGCAUGUCUAAGUACAUGUGUAUUUAACACGAAACCGCGUAUGGCUCAUUAUAACAGCUAAAAUUUACUUGAUUUUGACUUUUAUCCUACAUGGAUAACUGUGGUAAUUCUGGAGCUAAUACAUGCAUAAAAGAUGUUUCUUUAUUGAAACAUUGCGUAUAUUAGUAUUAAAACCAAGCAUUCUUCGGAAUGUUUUGUGUUGAAACUGAAUAUAUCUGCUGAUCGUAUGGUCUUGUACCGACGACAUGUCAUUCAAGUGUCUGAUCUAUCAACUUUCUAUAUAAGUAUAUAGUACUUAUAUGGUUUUGACGGAUAACGGGGUAUUAGGGUACGACUCCGGAGAAAAUGCCUGAGAAACGGCGUUUACAUCCAAGGAAGGCAGCAGGCGCGAAAAUUACCCACUCUCAGUACGAGGAGGUAGUGACGAGAAAUGACAAGAUCUAUUGCUUCGGGGAUGGAUCAUUGGAAUGGUUUGAUUUUAAAAUCAUUAAAGAGUAUCAAUGAGAGGGCAAGUCUGGUGCCAGCAGCCGCGGUAAUUCCAGCUCUCAUACUGCAUUGAAUUGUUGUUGCGGUUAAAAAAGCUCGUAGUUGGAUCUGUACAUGAUAGGUUAGUUUAUUCUUUACGGAAUAUAACUAAUACUAAAUGUUUUUUGUUAGAUUUAUUUGCGGUUUUUACGAAUCGUAAAUUGUCUAACGAGUUUACUUUGAAUAAAUCAGAGUGCUCAAAACAGGCGUAAGCUUGUAUGGUUUUGCAUGGAAUAAUAGAACAUGACUAUGGUUCAUGUUUUAUUGGUUUUACUUACCAUAGUAAUGAUUAAAAGGAACAAACGGGGGCAUCCGUAUCGCAGGGCGAGAGGUGAAAUUCGUGGACCCUUGCGAGACGAACUACAGCGAAGGCAUUUGCCAAGAAUGUUUUCAUUAAUCAAGAACGAAAGUUAGAGGAUCGAAGGCGAUCAGAUACCGCCCUAGUUCUGACCGUAAACUAUGCCAUCUAGCGAGUUUCGGGUGGAUAUUUUAUAUUUGCCCUUGAAACGAGCUUCCCGGAAACGAAAGUCUUUCGGUUCCGGGGGAAGUAUGGUUGCAAAGUUGAAACUUAAAGGAGUUGACGGAAGGUCACCACCAGAAGUGGAGCCUGCGGCUUAAUUUGACUCAACACGGGAAAACUCACCCGGUCUAGACACUAUAAGGAUUGACAGAUUGAUAGCUUUUUCAUGAUUUGGUGGAUGGUGGUGCAUGGCCGUUCUUAGUUCGUGGAUUGAUUUGUCUGGUUAAUUCCGAUAACGAACGAGAUUGGAGCUUAAUUAAAUAGAAAGAUCAUUUUUUCCUUUUUUCCCUUUACGGGGUUAAAAGCGUGAUUCUUUUCUUCUUAAUGGGAUUUGCGGCGUUCCAGUCGUAAGAAACCCAGCAAUAACAGGUCUGUGAUGCCCUAAGAUGUCUGGGGCUGCACGCGCGCUACAAUGAAAAUUGCAGCGCGUGUGACCAUAACCGAAAGGUUUUGGUAAACGAGUCAAAUUAUUCCGUAUUUGGGAUCGAAUAUUGUAAUUAUUAUUCGUGAACGAGGAACUUCAAGUAAGUGUAAGUCAUCAGCUUACGCUGAUUACGUCCCUGUCCUUUGUACACACCGCCCGUCGCUGCCCGGAACUGGGUUAAUUCGAGAAGAUUGAGGAUUGUUUGUUAUUAUGUAUUUCGGUGCAUAAUCAACAGAUGAAAAUCAAUUUGAUCGCAUUGGCUUGAACCGGGCAAAAGUCGUAACAAGGUGGCCGUAGGUGAACCUGA